UGAGUAACCUGCCCUGGACUUUGGGAUAACCCUCGGAAACGGGGGCUAAUACCGGAUAUGACGCACUCUCGCAUGGGAUGUGUGUGGAAAGUUUUUCGGUCUGGGAUGGGCUCGCGGCCUAUCAGCUUGUUGGUGGGGUGAUGGCCUACCAAGGCGACGACGGGUAGCCGGCCUGAGAGGGCGACCGGCCACACUGGGACUGAGACACGGCCCAGACUCCUACGGGAGGCA
rnacentral:rRNA from 1 species